CGCGCAGCAGGAUGAGCCGAUGUCCGAUUAGCUAGUUGGUGGGGUAAAGGCCUACCAAGGCGACGAUCGGUAGCUGGUCUGAGAGGAUGAUCAGCCACACUGGGACUGAGACACGGCCCAGACUCCUACGGGAGGCAGCAGUGGGGAAUAUUGGACAAUGGGGGCAACCCUGAUCCAGCAAUGCCGCGUGUGUGAAGAAGGCCUUCGGGUUGUAAAGCACUUUUAUCGGGAACGAAACACCGUGGGUUAAUACCCUGCGGGACUGACGGUACCCGAGGAAUAAGCACCGGCUAACUCCGUG
rnacentral:rRNA from 1 species